rnacentral:lncRNA from 1 species
CCCCCAGGGUCCAACGAGAAUAAAUCAGUGGACAAUUGAGGUGCUUUGCCAACCCUGAACAAGCAGACCUUUGUUGAGAACAUUACGAAGAACAGCACUUUGUGACCAGUAUCCUUGCAGAACUGGAAAGCUGAGACAACGAGGACGUGCGGCUGGCUUAGAAUCUCGGAUGUGGAAGCAAUACUACACCAAGAGGUAGACUUGCCUUCAGAUUUCAUCAGUGUAAACGGAGCAGGUCUCUAGGAGCAGCAAGAUAGCUAGAGGCGGUAGAGACAUCUCAGAGGGCUGCAGGGGCAAUGUGGGAGGGUAGGAGGAGU